AGUUUGGGUCGGUGUAUUUGGCGCAUAAAAUGACCGUUCGUCACUCUUCACUCAUCGCGCUGUCCGAACACCGUCGGAGAGACUCACCGUGUUCUCUGUAACUCCACUUCUCGGAGACCCAAAGAUCGCUGUAAGUUUACUUACAAUCCAAAGAAACUGACAAAGAUCGUUUUUCUUUCAGGGCGUUGUGCAUUUUACCAUGUUUGGAUUGCUGUUUUGCUCUUUCAGCAAGUACUACAAAAGGGUCUCUUAGUAUACAAUGUUCUGCACUGUGAGGCAAAUUAUUAUGAUGGAAUGAUGACAAAUCUGCAUGAUUGCAAUCCAUAAAAUUCUGACUUUGUUGAUUUCAAAAUCAGUUAUUACUUUGUCAAAGCAAAAAAAUUUGAGAAAUCCAUGUUUGAUUUCAUGUGUCAAUACCCUUGGUCACUAGAUAUAUUAUAUUUCAAGAUUCGAAGUGCAGUUUAUGACCAGAUAUCAACAUUGAUGCACUAAAUUCCCAAAUGUUUUGAAUUAAUAGUAUUGUUCAUUAAUAAUGCAGAUAGAUACUCAAAGAUCACUAUUGGAUGCACUCCAAACAGGGGUUUUCAAUCUGUUUCUGAAGCAACCAAGGACAACUUGAAAUUGUUGGAUGGCAUGGCAGAAUUGAAACCUACUGUGUUCUGCCUGAAGUGUUCCACAAUUACAUAACAGAGUAUAUGGUAAAUUGAUGUAUUUUUCAAUCAGUAAGGCUUAUUUAGGUUUAUAGUUAUUGGCAUUGUUCUAAGAGAAAGUCUGUCUAAUGUUGUUGCAUAUAAUGCAAAGAGACAAACAUUACUUAAAGGUAACAAUUUUCAAAACAUUCUUCAACACUUUUAGUUUUCCAUAUUUUAAAGAAUAUAUCUUGUUUAUGUUCCAUUGUGCUCUUGAUGCAAAAGAUCUGGAUCCUUUGAUUGCAGUUGGUUGUUAUUUUUGGUGGUAUUUACUGAUAAGAGUCUCAUUUAUAAUAUGUGUCCUGUUUUUUUACAAACAAUGUAGAUGUCAAUCAGCUGAAAAAGUUUAUGCAUACAGUGAUAGAAGGAGCAAACUCUUGAUGAGGUGAUGAAAUUGAUUUAAUGUUGCGCCUACUGAAAGGGAAAAGUUUGUAGGUGGUGCUCCAGUAUUGAUAUCAUGUUAUCUGGUUUCAUCUGAACAAGAGUCUAAAUACUAAUUUAUAGUGUAUUUUUUAUGUGAAGUUACAAGGUCUAAAUAAAUACCAAUAUAUGCAACAUUUUAGGAUUAUAACAUUAAAACGUGAAAUGUUAAAAACAUCAGGGAAAGGAAAUGCCACAUGGUGGGUUGAAAUGUUAAAAACAAGUGGUCAAUAUAAUGAGGAAUCUUUUCAUUCAGCUGUGAUGCUUGAACAAGCAUCUUAUUGCUAUAGAAUCACCUUGUUCUUUUUAGCGAUCUAUCUGUAACAGAAAUGCGAUCAUGUAUUGCAGUUUUUGUUAAUUAUUUAAUAGAUAACUUUGUUUUACUAUUAGUACUUAAUAAAUACCUUUCAUUAUCGAAUAUCAAUGAUUCUGUAACAAUAAUUUAAAGUAAUACUAUAUGAAUGAUUUAUCUCUUUUUAGAGUAAUAUUAUGUUUUUGCUCCCUGAGUAUAGCUGAUUCGUUUUUUAAAAAUUUGGUCCUUAGUUGAGGUAUGUUAUGUUUUCAUAUUUGUGCCUAGUAAAAUGACAAUACUUACUCUUCUUUCUAAGUUAGUGUGCUUUAUUAUGUUCUUCUGAGUUCUGACAAGUUCUGCCUUUUUGUAUCAGAAAAAACCUCUGGCUUAUAAUGAAAGAACAUGGAGUCAUAUUCGGGAUCAUGUCUAUUUUCAUAUAGGACAGUAAGUUAGUUCUAAAUAAAGUUUUAUAUAGUAAUAUUAUGCUGAAAUGGUUGGAAUUUUAUUAUCACCCUCUUUGGAUACAGAUGGUAGGCUUGUAGUCAUCAAUAAAAGCCAAGGAAUUUUGUUGAGGAAUGCAAAAAAAUUUCAUUAUAUAUAUAUAACAAAUGUAACUACUUUAGAAUUUGGCAUAUUUUAGAUCUAGCUAAACGCCUAAAAGUUUUUAAUGGCAUAUCAAAUCUAUAUAUAGCUAAAAACUCUGAACAGAAUUAGUUUAAUAGGAGGAGAUUGUCAAAUAUGACUUGAGUAGUUGAUACGUUUCACACUUAAAAGUUGCAUAUCAAAUUUUGUUCUGAAGGGACAUUCACGAAGGUUAGGAUUUGAAUCAUCAAAUCGAGAGACAAUUAAUUGCCUAAAUCAAUCCACAUUUUUUAUCAACUCUAGAUUUCAUAUCCAUAUACACUUUCUUAACGUAAACCUCUUGUUUUGCUCUACAUUUACUGAUAUUAUUGUUCUUCCAGAAAAAUGGGAAUGUUCUGCUCUACAUUUCAUCAAAUAUGACAUAUUUCCCAUUUGAUGAAGUUAGUCUACAUUGAAAAUAUUGGAAUUUUAUAUCAAACAGUGGGUGUCAAUCCAAACCGAGUCAAAAUCACGUGAUUUGAUUGAUUGUCUUAGGGGUAUUUUAGUCUUUUGCUUUGUUUGAUCCAGUUAAAGCCAUUUUGGCAGUAGUUGAACUAGUGGGUAGAAGUCUGGGUUUUUUAGAAUGUUUUUAUGCUAUUUAUUUGGUCCUUAGUUGUUGAUUUGCAGUGUGGAAUAAUACAAAAAAUUGCCCCACAAACAGUCUCUUCUUCUGUUUUUCGUUGGUCGGUGCUUUUUUGUUUCAGUUUGCUACCACUAUCUACAGAUCUCAAUGAGGUGUUCUUCAGGAUUAUGCACAACACUCAGCUGAAAAAGUUUAUGAAUGCAUACAGUGAUAAAAGGAGCAAACUCCUAAUGAGCUUAAGAUGGAGCUAGGUGAUGAAAUUGAUUUAAUGCUGCUGAUAAAAUGCACAGGUAGUCUAAAUACUAAGUUUAUAUUGUAUUUUUGAUGUGAAGUUGCAAGAUUUACAUAUAAGUUGAAGAGUUUAGUAGUUAUUAUAUACACAACAAAAUGGAUUAUAACAUUUUCGUGAAGCAUUGUUAAACGAGAAUCAGAUCUCUUUGCAAUUGGAGCAAUUCUGAUAACUGGUCCAAAUCUUCACUUUAAUUUUGAUUACAUCCAUUACAAUGAAAAUAUAAAUUUAGAAGGCUUUGCUGUUUUAACAACUUAUAGUACUCUUAAGUCAAUGUUGCUUAUUAUAAAGAUUGUUAUUACAAAAGCUAAAUUAACCUCUUAAUGCUUGCUUAAAAUGUGUCUGAAUAUGUUAGAGAUAAAGAUAUAGUGUGAAGUUGCAGCUGAAAAUUAACGAAAACUUACAAUGAAGAAUCCAUAAAUACCCCUAUGUUUAGUAUGUCUGGUAAUUCUUUACAAAAGAUAUUUGUUAUUUAGUCAAUUCUUAUACUUAUUUAAAAAGUGUACUUUUUUAUUUAAUAAGUUGGGACAUCAGAGAAAGGAAAUGCCGCAUGGUGUGGGUUGAAAUGCCAAAAACAAUUGGUCAAUAUAAUGAAUGAGGAAUCUCUUCAUUCAGAUGUAAUGACGUGACCUAUUUUGCGAUUUGGUCCUAUUUUCUUCAUGGUUUCACAAUGCUUUUGGUCGCAACUCUAAUAACCUAGAUUAGAUGUUAAAUUUAUGAAAAUGAUCUUUUUGUCCUUGAUGUCAUCUUUAUCUCUUUUUUCAGAAUGUGUUUUUGUGGUUUUUGUUGGUAAAUGUUUAAAGGUAUCUAUCUGGUGGUCUGUUUAAAGGCAACAAUGCAUCUCCCAUGCCAUGUGGGACAAACUUGGCCAUCAUGUCAUGGAUUUUAUUAAAGUGUAAGUUAUGUUUAUGUGUUGUGUUUCAUUAUAGCAUCCUAGUUUCAUUUCUUUCUAUUACAGUAUUAAACUUUCAACUCUUAUAUUUUUUCUACCCAAUUACAUUUUACCUAUUUUCUUCAUUGGACAUUAUACCUAAUUAAGCAUUGUACUUUAUGUUUUUUUUCUUAUUGUGACAUUAAACUUUGAAUAAUCUACCCAUUUAUAACAUCAUAGUUUCAUUUUUUUUAUUAGGACAUUAUACUCUAAAAAGCUUACCAAAAACUGGGUGGAUUUUUGAAAAUAGAAUGUUUUGAUAAGAUGAAAGUAAAGUAGGAUGCUAUAUAUAAACCAAUAUAUAAUAUCCGUGUGUGUUUAUGAACUAAAGCUUGUGGAUGCUCCUGAGAUGAACUACACAUCUGAUGAUCAACCAUACCAUACCCUCGUGAUUAAAUUUGAAUACUUGAAAAAUCUAAACGACUAUUAAAUAGUAUUUUCUUAAAUCUAUAGACAGGAGGUAUUUUGUUUCAUUAUUUAUUUAACAAAUGUAAGUAAUCUUUUUUCAUUGUUUAAUAGUUUGUUUGAAAAAUAAUGUCUAAUUGCAUUUUUAUGGGCUAUAAUUUGAUCAUGUUUAUUUGUUAUUAAUAUCUCUGAAAUUUUCAUGUGCAUUUGUGUAUGCUAUUUAGAUGCUAAGGUGUAAAACUUUAUAUUAAAACAUUAAUACUUUCAUAAUCAAAGACCAUGUGAUUGCAUUAUUUUUCCUAUCAAGUCACUGUACUUAGAAAAACUGAACAUGUUUAAAAAAUUCUAAUAUCAAGACAUUGUACUCUCAAAAUCUAACAAAUUGCAACAUUAUAUUCUCAUAAUAUAACCUACUAAGACAUUGUAGUUGUAAUACAUUGUACCUUUAAAAUCUAAAGUUUUUUUUUUCUAUUCAGAAAUUAUAUAUUGAAAACUGUAGUAUUAUACUCUCAGUUACUUGUGUAGUAUUAUACUUUUUCUCAAUAAUUGCUACAUUGAUAGAGUGCUACCUGGAUAAUGAUGUCUUAAGAUCUUUGUUUGACUUGAUAAAACAAUGUUUUCAUUUAGUGAAGAAUUCAAUCGAUUUUAAUGUUAAAAGUUGUCAAUAAUUAAGUAAUGGCUGUUGAUCAAAGGUGAAGAAACUUAUGGCUUUUGUUAUGGUCACUAUAGUAAUAUAUAUAAUGUUGAUCAUCAAGGGUAAAUAGUGAUGGGUGAAAAGGUCGAUAACCCUUUUGUUUUGCUACAUCUGAUUUUCACAAACCUUUCUUUUAUUUUUAAAUCGACUAAUUUACCCUCAUGCUACUUUCAUUUUUAAAACAAAACUAACAUGCUAAUUUUAUUGUCAUGACAAAAAUAGCAUGAUAAUGUUGCCUAGGUUGAUAUUGAUCCAUAAGGUUAAGCAAUUUUCACUGCUAUUAUGGGUGGAUUUUACAAAGUAUAAUAAUGAAUGUCUCAACAAAAAAAAGUUAAAAGUUCAAUGCUAUGUGAUAGAUUUUUUAUUAACAUUUCUAAGUCUUAUGCUCAAACUUUUAUUGAUGAAGCUUAUAUGUAACACUUACUUGGUUUGCAUACUUUUAUGAUGAAGCUUUUAUUGACUUUGGUGAUUUCAAAAUCAGUAGUUAUUUUUGUCAAAGCAAAAUAAUUGAGAAUUUCAUUUUCAUGUGUAAAUCCCCUUGGUCUCUACAUAUAUUAUUUUUCAAGAUUUGAAGUACUCUGAUGCACUUAAUUCCUAAAUAUUUUGAUAGAUGCUCAUAGAUCACCAUUGGCUGCACACCUAGCAAAAUACACUCAAAAUUUAUGUUCUUUGGUUCUUUAAAUGUAUUUCAUUCCACUAUUUUUCAACUUUCUGAUCGUAUUCAGUCUUAUAUAGUUUCUGAAAGGGGACAUACCCUUCAACUGUCUAUUCCUGUUCAUUUGGGGCUUCCCCUUUAGGGCUUUCUUUCUUGGGAUGGCUAUUGAUCAAAGGUGAAGAAAAUUGGCUUUUGCUACACUGUAUAUCCAUGAUUUUGUUUUUUAGAAAAAAAUAUAUCGGGUUCCUCAAGUAUUGAUUAAAGCACUUAUGGCCACUAUACUAAUAUAAUGUUGAUCAUCAAGGGUAACUUUUUCAAAUUAGUCCCAUAGUCGAAAGCAUCAAUCAAAAGAAGGUGAUUGGCGAUGUUUUGAAAUCCAAAAAGGUAUUGUUUAGUUGUAGAUUGUUUCUUCUGUGUGCACUCUAGGUUUUUGAUGAAAUGUCUUAAUUAAUUUAAAGAGUUGUUUUGCUUUGUUUUGACUGUGAAAAUGUUAUUGGAUUAAAUUAUGUAGAGAGAGAAGUAAAUUACUUAUUGUGAGCUAUUAGAGAUUCAAUUAGGGAAAGAUAAUUUACUGUUUGUAUUUUUAACUCAUUUAGAAAUAAAGUUGUGCAUUUCUGUUUAA